rnacentral:piRNA from 1 species
CGCAGUACACCACUACGGUGUUUGCAGG